AGGUGGUUAUUGCGGCGGGGUUCCACCUCUUCCCAUUCCGAACAGAGAAGUUAAGCCCGCCUGCGCCGAUGGUACUGCAAUGCAAUGCGGGAGAGUAGGAGGCCGCC
rnacentral:rRNA from 1 species